AACGAACGCUGGCGGCAGGCCUAACACAUGCAAGUCGAGCGCCCCGCAAGGGGAGCGGCGGACGGGUGAGUAACGCGUGGGAACGUACCCUUUGCUACGGAAUAGCCUCGGGAAACUGAGAUUAAUACCGUAUACGCCCGGUAACGGGGAAAGAUUUAUCGGAGAAGGAUCAGCCCGCGUAAGAUUAGAUAGUUGGUGGGGUAAUGGCCUACCAAGUCUACGAUCUUUAGCUGGUUUGAGAGGAUGAUCAGCAACACUGGGACUGAGACGCGGCCCAGACUCCUACGGGAGGCAGCAGUGGGGAAUCUUAGACAAUGGGCGCAAGCCUGAUCUAGCCAUGCCGCGUGAGUGAAGAAGGCCUCAGGGUCGUAAAGCUCUUUCAGUGGGGAAGAUAAUGACGGUACCCACAGAAGAAACCCCGGCUAACUCCGUG
rnacentral:rRNA from 1 species